GACAGAGGGUGCAAACGUUGCUCGGAAUCACUGGGCGUAAAGGGCGCGUAGGCGGGAAUGUAAGUCGGGCGUGAAAUCCCCAGGCUCAACCUGGGAACUGCACUCGAAACUGCGUUUCUUGAGUAUCGGAGAGGAAAGCGGAAUUCCUGGUGUAGAGGUGAAAUUCGUAGAUAUCAGGAGGAACACCAGUGGCGAAAGGCGGCUUUCUGGGACGGUAACUGACGCAUG
rnacentral:rRNA from 1 species